CACUGCUCCCCUGAGGUCCCAAAAGCAGUCAUGGAUGCCCAUACCACCCUUUCAUCAGUCCGAGGCUCCAUAACGCCUGAGCAUUAGGCCUGUGCUGACUUUUGGAGCUCAGAGGACAUCCAGUUCCCUAUUGCUGAUCAAAUCAGAGGCCUUUCUUAUACGUAACAGGACACCUGACACAACUGCUUCAAACAGUAAAGAGGAUUUAUUAGUUUAUGAACUGUAAAGUCCAGCAGUAGAAUGGAUUUCAGGAGAGGCUUAACCAGCCAUCCAACAAUGUGAUCAAAGGCCCUAUCUCCUGUUUCUCUGUACCACCAUCUUCAGUGCUGAAUUCAUCCCAAUUUGGACACCUUUCAUGUCUCAAGAUGGCUGCCAGCAGCCCCUGCAGCUACCUACUUUCUUGUUACCAUCUGUCAGAAAAGAGAUUAUCUGUGUCCCAGCCUCCCCAGCAAAUGUCCUCAGAUUCACCCUGAUUGGAUGCGUUUGGGUAAACACUGAAUCAUUCAUCACUGGCCACUGAAAUGGGAUGGCUGGUUGGCUUUGUCUGAGUCAUGUGGCCAUUCCUGGAGCUGAAGGCAAGGUCAGGGGGACUUUGGGAGAUGGAGGAUGGAGCACAAAACCAGUAAGGUUACUGAUAAACGUCUACCACCCUUUUCACCAAUGCUCCCAUGUGCAGGGCUCAGCUCUCUCUUCAGAAGAGGAGUGGUGAAGUGACAGCUUCCAGCGGCCACACCUUCAUCUCGAGAUCCACCCCAGUGUUUGCGCUAAGGCCACACUCUUCCUGGCCUGUUCCCAGCAGCUGGCUGGUCAUAGCAAGGUGCUGGAGCUGGGCCAUUCCUGCCCAGUGAGUGACUCCCAUCCUCUCCACACCUUCUUAAGCUUACACUGCACUGUGGGGCUCCUUCUCACACUUGUCUGUCUUCCUUUUGGUCUGCCCCCUGCCCCACUCCUGUUUCCUUUUCCCUUUAUUCUUCCUUCACAGACAUUGCACUUCUAAUUCUAUCUUGGCUUCUGCUUCCCAGCAAAUGAAACUGACACAUCCUGGUUUUCUGAGCUACUCUCUGAGUGUGCCUCUGAUUUUCAGAGGAGCUCAGCUCAAACCCACUUGCUCCACAAGUGCCUGUGGGGCCGAUACUGUCUCCAGUAUACAGAAGGGGAAGCCAGGGUUAGAGGUUGAGUAGCUUGCCUGAUGUCACCCAUGCAACAAGGGGAGCCUUGGCUUCCGAACCCCAUCUUUACCUCUCUGCAGCCCGUGCUCUCUACCAGCUGUAGACGCUGUUCCUGGUAGAGCCUGGUGAGGGGGAUUGUCGGUGGAUGGGCAGGAUCUCUGUACUGGGGGCGGGAGGGGCGUUGCCACGUUGAGCACCGACACUUGAGAAGUGACACGGCUUCGUUUGUACACAAACCAUCCUGCAUGGUGUUUAAAAACAAAGGGCAAAGUCAGACGUUGCUCGAGGGCCCGGAAAGCCAACUGCGAAGCAGGCGGGCAGCUCCCGGAUGGCCCCGCGUUGCCCCUGCUCCCACGCUCCCGGAUCAGUGAGAAAGCCUGCGCCCCGCCCUGAGAGCCAACCCGCUAAUCCGCGGCAUCGUCCACCAAUGUGUCUAAUGAGGUGGCAUAACCACCCAGCUCUCCCCGGAGCCGCGCAGGGCCUCCUGGCUGAACUAGCGGGUGUAGCUCCGUCGGGUC
rnacentral:lncRNA from 1 species